ACAUGGAUUCAGACACACUGCAAACCUUCCAGAGGGAGCUCUGUUGCUUUAUCUGCAGGAACUACUUAACGGACACAGUCACCAUUGACUGUGGGCAUAGCUUUUGCAGGCCCUGCCUUUGUCUACGCUGGGAGGAAGGCCAAGCUCCAAAGGGCUGUCCUGUGUGUGGGAAAAUCCCCCAGAAGACUGACUUCAACACCAAUAUUGUUCUCAAGAAGUUGGCUUCUCUUGCAAGGCAGCGCAGACCUCACAACAUCAACAGCUCAGAGAAGCAGAUCUGUGUGCUACAUGAAGAGGAAAAGGGGCUCUUCUGUGAGGCAGAGGAGAGACUCCUCUGUGGGCCCUGCUCUGAGUCACAAGAGCAUGAGGCUUAUGGCCACAGCCCAAUAGGAUGGGCUGCUGAGGAGAGAAACUUCUGAAGAAAAUGGAUCAUUUAUGGAGGAGCACUCAAGAAAUGCAAAACAAUCUAAAUCAGGAAAUUAGCAAAAUCCAUUCAUUAACGGACUAUGUGGCCCUCAGGAAAGGGAUGAUCAGAUAACAAUAUCAGAAGUUGCGCCAAUUUCUCCUGGAGGAGGAGCAACGCCAUCUGGAGACAAUGGACAGAGAAGCAGAAGAGAUUGUUCGACAACUCCAAGACGGUGAAGUAAGAAUAACCCAACAUAUAAAAAAGACGAAAGGCAUGUACAGAGAGCUGUGGGAGAUGCGCCACAUGCCGGAUCCCCAGCCAGUGAACCCAGAACUCACUUCCUGGCACAUCACCGGACCUUUCUGAGGAUGUGAGAAAUGUGGUAUUUGGAGAUGACCAUGAUGGUGCACCCGGGGAGUCCCAGAGAGCAGAGAACUUUGCAGCAUGGGGAGCUCAGGCCUUCUCCUCUGGCAGGCAUUACUGGGAAGUGGAUGUAACCCAGUCCUCCAGCUGGAUUCUAGGAGUCUGUAAAGAUUCCAGGACAGCAAACACAAAUCAUGUUCCUGCUUUUGAGGAAGCAUUUUUUCAAUUUUCUUCAAAGAGAAACAGCCUUUAUAGCCUCUCCAACACCUUUCUUCCCUUAACUCACUAUGUGCAAAGACCUUUGGGUCGGGUUGGGAUGUUUCUGGAUUAUGACAACACAGUUGUGAGCUUUUAUGAUGUUUCAAAAGGUUCCCUCAUAUACAGCCUUUUCCCUUUCUCUUUGUCUUCCCUUUUGACACCUUUCUUUUGUUUU
rnacentral:lncRNA from 1 species